UACGUAGGUGGCAAGCGUUGUUCGGAAUUACUGGGCGUAAAGCGCGUGUAGGCGGCUCUUCAAGUCAGACGUGAAAGCCCCGGGCUUAACUCGGGAACUGCGUUUGAUACUGUCGGGCUAGAGUGCGGAAGAGGCGAGUGGAAUUCCUGGUGUAGCGGUGAAAUGCGCAGAUAUCAGGAGGAACACCAAUUGCGAAGGCAGCUCGCUGGGACGUAACUGACGCUGAGACGCGAAAGCGUGGGGAGCAAACAGG
rnacentral:rRNA from 1 species